rnacentral:pre_miRNA from 1 species
AUAUUAGUCCCUCCAUCCGGAAUUACUUGUCAUCAAAAUGGAUGUGUCUAGAACUAAAAUACAUCUAGAUACAUCGAUUUCAAUGACAAGUAUUUUCGGACGGAGGGAGUAGUAG